rnacentral:rRNA from 1 species
UACGGGGGGGGCAAGCGUUGUUCGGAUUCAUUGGGCGUAAAGGGUGUGUAGGUGGCGCUGUAAGUCGGGUGUGAAAUUUCGGAGCUUAACUCCGAAACUGCAUUCGAUACUGCGGUGCUUGAGGACUGGAGAGGAGACUGGAAUUCAUGGUGUAGCAGUGAAAUGCGUAGAGAUCAUGAGGAAGACCAGUGGCGAAGGCGGGUCUCUGGACAGUUCCUGACACUGAGACACGAAGGCCAGGGGAGCAAACGGG